UUUCCUUUUUUGCUUAAUUCUUUUAUGUUUUUUUUGUGUGUUAUUUUUUGGUUAUUUGAACACUUGUUAAUAAAACCACCACCUCACUUUGAAAUGGCUGCUGCCUUUUGAGACAUUUCUUCAGCCUACAACUUUUUGCUCAAACCAGUGACUUACAAAGACACCCAAAUCACUGUUUUGGUUGAAGUUGUAACUCUAAAUUUGGUGGCAGUGAUGGGAUUUCUUUUGUCACUGACACUGGAGAGCCAGAAGAAGCUUGGAAGCCCCAACACCAGAAAUGCACAGAGAGAAAUGUAGCAUGAACAAAGCCAAGCACUCCCAUAUGGCAGGGAUGCUCCAAACUGACCAGGGGUCAAGGGAGGACCAGGGGGGCAGGUGAAUGAAUCAUUGGAUUAUGAUAAGGUCAAAGAGGCCCUUCUAGCCAAGUAUGAGCUAAAUGGGUGAAACUGCCAUGAAAAACAGGGGAAGAAGUAGGAGAGGUGCUGAUUCUGGAGCAGUUUCUAAACAUCCUGUUACUUGAAGUUGGAGUGUCGAUGAAGGAGUUUAAUCCAGAGAAUUUCCAGAGAGCUGCUCAACUAGUGGAGGCUUUCAUGGCUGCGAGGAGAGGGCCAAAAGUCUUCUGAUACGGCAAGAUCCACCGACCGACCACACCAAACGAAUACUGAGAGGGAUUUUAUGAGCCCAUUGCAUCAAGGAUAGCAGCUGUGUAAACACUGACGUGCAGACUUGAGGAAUGGGGGAACCGCCAAGCUUCUCAUGAAUGGACAACCCGCUGUACAUUCAUGAACCACCUGAACCUCUGUCAAAUGUCAACAGGUGGAGGAGAAAUGUGCCGGGCUCCUUACCAGCGAUUGAUUUCAUAUGAAGUCUGCGAUCAGGUUGUCCCUGGUGUUGCUUUUUCAGAUCCAACAGGCCCAACCCAAUCAUGGGUGACAUGAGUCCAAAAUGCACAGAUGGAAAGCUGAAUGACCCAAUUAAAUGGUUGGAGCUGCUUGCAAGCAGCUGGACUCAGACAUAACAACUGAAACUGAAAUACAAGGACUGACAAGCUUAGCAAGGUUUUAGUGGAGUGUUUGCCGGAAUUGGAUUUUUAUGGACCUUUUCAAAGUGAUCAGGCAAAAUAAGUACGUCAACAACUUGGGCUGAACUACUAUGAGUCCACUUUUAACAUAUAUUUAAUUCUCAGUCUGUGAAAGUUAGUAUGACAGUUCAUUAAAGAUGAACAUUCCUUUCAUCUCAAAUCAUAAUUACUGCUUUCUGUAUGUGCUUACA